rnacentral:snRNA from 8 species
AUAUCUGAUACGUCCCCCAUCGGGGGACUACAUAUUAAAUGGAUUUUUCGAACAGGGAGUCGGAAAUGGGGCUUGCUCCGUCCGCUCCACGCAUCGACCCGGUAUUGCAGUACCUCCGGGAAUGGUGCAACACUU